rnacentral:rRNA from 1 species
AAGACGGUGGAGCAUGUGGUUUAAUUCGAAGCAACGCGAAGAACCUACCAGGCCUUGACAUGCAGAGAACUUCCAGAGAUGGAUUGGUGCCUUCGGGAACUCUGACACAGGUGCUGCAUGGCUGUCGUCAGCUCGUGUCGUGACGAUGUUGGGUUAAGUCCCGUAACGAGCGCAACCCUUGUCCUUAGUUACCAGCACGUUAUGGUGGGCACUCUAAGGAGACUGCCGGUGACAAACCGGAGGAAGGUGGGGAUGACGUCAAGUCAUCAUGGCCCUUACGGCCUGGGCUACACACGUGCUACAAUGGUCGGUACAAAGGGUUGCCAAGCCGCGAGGUGGAGCUAAUCCCAUAAAACCGAUCGUAGUCCGGAUCGCAGUCUGCAACUCGACUGCGUGAAGUCGGAAUCGCUAGUAAUCGUGAAAUCAGAAUGUCACGGUGAAUACGUUCCCGGGCCUU